rnacentral:sRNA from 1 species
ACAAAUGACAUAAAAAUGUCCAACUCGGAUUACCUUCCCGACUACCCACUCAACUCAGACUUAGUGAAGAGAUUAAAGUCUGCCCUGGAUGCCAAAGAUGAGGAGAGAGUGAGGGAUUUAAUCUGCACUGAAGUCACGCCCGUGGACGCUGUGAUAGAAUUGGCCAAUGACGACUGGAUGAAAGACCCCUCGGCUCAGCUGCCUACCGGCAUGCUGCUAGGGAGUGGGGUGAAGGAAAGUUGGCUUUAGACAUUAAAACAGGAAGAAUAAAGACCAGAAAAGGGUGUGAAAGUAACUCCACUGGAAGGCCUGGGGCUGCUGCACCAGUUGGUAGUGAUGUUAUUAUCCCAGAGUCCAAUCAGACUUAGUACAUGGCCAUUUACAGAAACGCUUCAGGUAAAAAAGGGAAGAAGGAAAUUGACCAGGUCAACAACGUGCACUGGCAUAUUUAAGAAAGAGUGCACGGAAUCUCACAAUGUCCACAAGAGUAAUGACUUCCUGCCCCUGUCUGUCCACUUGGACACUUCCAGAAGGAAGCCAGACAUUUGCCAAUGACCUAGGAAAGAAUCUGAACAUUUGCCAUUCCCCAAGAACAAGAGAAAAUGGCAGGGUGUCCUGCAGCCUCAAAAACUCUACCUCUUGGCUUGAAGGCUUGGAAAGUUGUGGCCAUAGAGAAAGAGCCUGGCCCUGCCACAAAGCCCACCAGCUCCAGGUUUCAGCCUCAGCUGGAUUAAUCCUUGGAGGCUUCUAGGAAAAAGAAAAUCACUAGUCAACUCAAUGGCAAGAAGAAAAGAUCCCAAUGUCACGUGAAAAUAAUAGUCACCAUUCAAACACUACCAUCUGGAUACCCCAUUAUAAUUUCAAGGUGGAUUUUACCUUUUUCAUCUCAUUUGAUCCAGAGGCAAAAACUCCCUCUCAUUAGCUACCUACACUAUAGGACUCAAUUAUAAAGAACUCAUGUUUGUGUCUCCUGCAGACAAAACAUUAUGCUUAUUAUUUAAGUCUCCAAAAUAUUCUUUGCAAACGUAUAUUUUAAUCCAGUUGACUACCUGGCUAGUAUUAGAGAAAUUGAGUCUAUUCACUCAGUUAGCCAGACACAAGCCAGGCCUCCUCUCCUGCUUGGAUUCUUGCCUUCCUUUUCUUAAAUUCACUUCAUGGUCUGCAAUAUAAGACCACAGCAAUUACAUUUGUUUAGUAUUCUGCCACGGUCCACCCACACAAAUGAGCUUCCUCCGUCAAAUAAGUACACCAUUUGAAAAACUGAAAAUAUUAAAUGUACUGGCUUGGAGAAAGUUAUAUUCAUCAGAAUCCCUCUCUUUCAAGAAGGGCACUGUAUUUGUUCAGAAGCAUUUCCUUGACCAGCACCCUGGAAUAGACGUUGAAACCCUACGGGCCCUGGCAGUGCACAGAACAACAAUGAAGAAAAAAGAGAGAGGAUUUCCAUGGCUGUACCAGAGAGAAAGGAAACAGAAAUGGAAGUGAAGAGUGGAAUAAGGCUGUGCAAACUGUGACGGAACUCUUCACAUCCUCAGUGUGAUUGCCAGAUACACUAAGUGAUGCUAUUAGUGGGCUAGCUUGAAAACAAACCAACCAACCAAGAAAAAUCAAAGAAGCCAAUUGUGGCUGCCAUUGUGAGAGGAGAGCGGAAGGUACACAAUGCAAGCAAACACAGAGAUCAAGGACAACACCAGGAAGCAAAGCACAGGGGCUCUCUGGAGUUCUCGGAGGGACUCUCAGUUCUACAAAGCCAAGAGUCCCAAUGAGAAAGGGAACUUAAAUGGACAUCUGUCUGACACGAGUUAUUCUUACUGUACAGACAUGCUUUGAAUGUUUUCAAAUAAUUUGCUGCAUUUAUGCCAUCUAAAUUUGGGUAUAAAUAUCAAUGCAUCAAAACAACCAACAACCUCUGAACUUAAAAACAAGAGAAAGAAACUUCUAGUGCCCCAAACGGGGAACCCAUAGCAGUGAGUAGCUGUUUCAGCCAUUCGAUUCACAAGGACAACAGAUUCCUAUGGGCCUGGGAUUUGAAUGCUGCCUUGUGGCAUUGAUUGAAUUAGCCUGUUGCUCUGACCUGUGGAGACCUUUUGGAAUCCUGGCUGUGUCAUGCUCCAUGCCACGCAUCUGAUAGCUACCCUUCCACAAAUUCAUUCAAAUCACAAUAUGUAUCACACAAAAUGGGGUAAGUUCAGGGAUAAAAGCCAUUCCACAUGCAUUGCAAGGGUCACGGAGUCCAUGGCUGCCUGUCACAGCAAUGGUUCUCAACCUUGGCUGCAUGUUAGAAGCACCUGGGGGUACUCUUUUUCCCUUUUUUUUUUUUUUUUUUUUUUUGAGAUAGAGUCUUGCUCUGUUGCCCAGGCUGGAGUACAGUGGCAUGAUCUCGGCUCACUGCAACCUCUGCAGGUUCAAGCGAUUCUCCUGCCUCAGCCUCCCAAGUAGCCAGGACUACAGGCGUGCACCACCUUGCCCAGCUAAUUUUUGUAUUUUUAGUAGAGACAAGGUUUCACUAUGUUGGCCAGGCUGAUCUCAAACUCCUGACCUCAGGUGAUCCACCUGCAUCAGCCUCCCAAAGUGCUGGGAUUACAGGCGUGAGCCGCCACGCCCAGCCACCUAGGGACUUUUUAACAGUCCUGUUGCCCAGGCCACACCUCCAACCCAUUAUGCCUGAAACUACCAGGUAGGCUCCAGGCAUCGUGUUUUUUAAAGUUCCUCAGGUGAUUCAUUUUUGCAGCCAAGGUUUGAACCACUGCUGUUGAGGCAUCAUGUGUAUUAUUUCUCCAGUUUGCAUUAUUUAGCCAGAGUUUCCUAAAGAAAGACUCACACUGUUUCCAUCUUUUCCAAGAGGCUGUCAUGAAACUGGCAUUGCAGGUUGUUGCCUACACCCCCUCCGCAUAUUUAUGAUAACCCUGUCACAAAAGAAAAUUCUAGUCCACCCUGAUGUGUUCCUAGUGACUCACAGAGCUCCAGGUGACUCCACUCUGUUUCCUAAAUACUCCCAAACAAUCUUUUUCAUAAUCCGUGUAGGGAUCUUGCCCAGGUCUAAUGUCAAGAUCAUGAGUCUGAGGAAUCCAAAUUCUCUUUCCAUUUGAAAACUAAACCUCUAGUCUUCUGGUCCUUCUUUUGUUUUAUCACAAUUCCUCAAAGACUUUGACAAUUGUUCAGCAACUUCAUACACAAAUUCACUCUUGAAAGAAGCUGCAUUUGUAUAUGUACUAAAGUUGGCAGAAAAGAUAAAACCUGAGUUGUAUCUUGAGGCUAUGUAUUGGCUUUGACUAAGCUGAGAAGGGUGAGGACCAAGAAAAUAAUGAGAUUAAAAUGACUUGACCCAAGCAAGCUAUAGAUAAUGUGAAGGCAGCAGGCAACAAAGAGCACAGUCAAGAGCACUGGGUCAGGAAACUGUUAUUCACGUAACUAUAGGGCAUCGUUCAGCUGCUGGGAAAGAAACCUAAAGAACUUCGGUCUUCUGGAGUCCUCCGCUCCUUGCUUUUUCCUGUUUGAUCCUUGCAGGCAGGGGUAUUGCUAGGUUUUUUGCCUCCAAAUCCUCAAACCUGAAGACUCACCCUAAAACAUAAUAAAGAUUACAUAAAUGCUUA